rnacentral:rRNA from 1 species
CAUGCAAGUCGAACGGUAACAGGGAGCUUGCUCCGCUGACGAGUGGCGAACGGGUGAGUAAUAUAUCGGAACGUACCCAAGAGUGGGGGAUAACGUAGCGAAAGUUACGCUAAUACCGCAUACGAUCCAAGGAUGAAAGCAGGGGACCGCAAGGCCUUGUGCUCCUGGAGCGGCCGAUAUCUGAUUAGCUAGUUGGUAGGGUAAAGGCCUACCAAGGCAUCGAUCAGUAGCUGGUCUGAGAGGACGACCAGCCAC